ACCUGUUCCCUGCACUAUGACAUCACAUCUAUGUCACCAAUAGAACCCUGUUCCCUACACCUUCCCUGCACUAUGACAUCACAUCUAUGUCACCAAUAGAACCCUGUUCCCUACACAGAACACUAUGACAUCACAUCUGUCACCAAUAGAACCCUGUUCCCUACACCUUCCCUGCACUAUGACAUCACAUCUAUGUCACCAAUAGAACCCUGUUCCCUACACAGAACACUAUGACAUCAUAUCUAUGUCACCAAUAAAACCCUGUUCUCUACACCUUCCCUGCACUAUGACAUCACAUCUAUGUCACCAAUAGAACCCUGUUCCCUACACAGAGCACUAUGACAUCACAUCUAUGUCACCAAUAGAACCCUGUUCCCUACACAGUGCACUAUGACAUCACAUCUAUGUCACCAAUAGAACCCUGUUCCCUACACAGUGCACUAUGACAUCACAUCUAUGUCACCAAUAAAACCCUGUUCCCUACACAGUGCACUACUUGGUGAGAGUGUGUUUGUUCCUGGGGUUAUAUUGCAUACAACUUUCCAAUGACGUUUCCUCACGGUUCGAUAUAAAUUAAUGUUCUCAAAUUUGUUCAGAGAACGUUAAGAAACAACGUUCUUCUUUUGGGAUUGUCAGUUCUUCAAAGCAUAAUAUUUUCUACAGGUUUUUACAGGUUUCCUCAUGGUUCUACUUAGUCACGUUCAGAGAACAUUAAAAUAUUUAAUUUCAGUACUUCAGCAUAACGUUUUCUACAGGUUUCCUCAUGGUUCUACUUAGUCACGUUCAGAGAACAUUAAAAUAUUUAAUUUCAGUACUUCAGCAUAACGUUUUCUACAGGUUUCCUCAUGGUUUUAAUUUAAAGUCGUGUUCUCAGAACAUUAAGAAAUCUUUACAUAACCACAAGAAAACAUAAGAAUGAAUGUUAUUUAAAAACAUACAUUCCUUUCUCAGCAUCUACAAAACACUCUCUGCUCUUAUCUUGUUAAGUGUGUAAAUUAAAAUUAGUACCUUUUAAAAAAAAAAUUUACAAACUUUAAAUUGAAUUAGACUGAAUGUUGCCGUUUCUCUUUUUUUUAAAUAACAAGAAAUAUUAUACUGAUGCAACUUAGUGAUUAAAGGGAUGGGUUGAUGGACAGAUGGACUGAGGUGAAAAGGGGCGUGUCUCUGGUUGGAGCACCCGAAGGGAACGGUUGCUGCUGUUCUCUUCUGGAAGCCAUUUUGUAUUUAUUUUAUUUUUUUCAAGACUUGGCUCGUUACCACGGCAACAACUUCUACUCAGUCACCGGAUACAUUCACUGCACUGUCUUACAACUGGUCAGGGCAGUAUAGUGAAGCACACAGAAAAGUUUGGAAAAUUCCAGUCGUUUUCCCAAAAUUCCCAGGUUUUCCAGUUUGGGAGAUUCCCGGAAUCAGGGGGGGAACAAGCAGGAAAUCAUGGGAAUUUAAUUGAAAGUUACUUGAAUUUUACAACCUUACACACAGAUAUAGAUAAUAAUAAUAAUAACAACAACAACAACAACAACCACCAUGCCAUGUUCAAACACGUCUUUGAGAAACUGAAACACAUUUUUUUGAUCUAUAUUUGGUCCUCUCCCUGGCCCAGUAUGAGGUAUCAGCCGUCCGUUAGCCCCGAGUCUCAGUUUCACUGUCUGUUCCACUCAGUCACAGCUUAGGUUUGUGUUUUGUAGUUUUGGCCCCGUUCACACUCAGGUUCUGCCAACUGAUCUACAACACAUUGGACACAAUGGUUUGUGAUCUGAUUUAUUUUUGUGAUGCAAUGAAGAGUUUGUUGCAGAUCCACUGAGCGGUUUCUCCACACGCUUGUGUAGUUUAUUUGUGUGCAGAAAAACUCUUGUAUGAUACAACUGGCAUCCCAAAACCGUUGUGCCAAAUAUGUUGUACGUCAGUUGUAUACGGGACCACUGUCAAGACUUCAGCCGAAGUCGGUCCCUCUCCUAGUUCGGGCGGCGUUCGACGUCACCGGCCUUCUGGCCAUCGCCGAUCCACCUUUUGAUUUUCUAUUGGUUUUGUCUGGUCUUCCCUCACACCUGGUUUCAAUUCAAUCAAUUACAUGUUGUGUAUUUAACCCUCUGUUCCCCCCCCCCAUGUCCUUGUCCAGUAUUGUUCAUUGUAAGAGUUUGUGCACGUUAUGUCUGGUGUGCGAAGGGUUUUGUCCCCAUUGUAUUUAUUUAUUGUUUUUGUUCACAGUGAUUUGUAUAAUUAAACUGCUCCGUUGUAAGACAGUC
ensembl:lncRNA